rnacentral:rRNA from 1 species
GCCAAAGAUUUAUCGCUGGAAGAUGGCCUCGCGUCUGAUUAGCUAGUUGGNGAGGUAACGGCCCACCAAGGCGACGAUCAGUAGCCGGACUGAGAGGUUGGCCGGCCACAUUGGGACUGAGAUACGGCCCAGACUCCUACGGAAGGCAGCAG